rnacentral:rRNA from 1 species
AGCUCCAAUAGCGUAUAUUAAAGUUGUUGCGGUUAAAAAGCUCGUAGUUGGAUUUCUUCUCUUGUCAGCCGGUCCUCACUUCGUGAGAGUAUCUGGUCAGAUUUGAGAAUCCUGUAUUCAAACGACGCUGCGCUUGAUUGCGUGGCUCGAGGGGAUACACUUUUACUUUGAGGAAAUUGGAGUGUUCACGGCAGGCAUUCGCCUUGUACACAUUAGCAUGGAAUAAUAAUAUAGGAUCACGACCCUAUUUUGUUGGUUUCUAGAGUUGUGAUAAUGAUUAAUAGGGACAAUUGGGGGCAUUUGUAUUAACACGUCAGAGGUGGAAUUCUUGGAUUGUGUUACGACAAACUACUGCGAAAGCAUUUGCCAAGGAUGUUUUCA